rnacentral:ncRNA from 1 species
AAAAUAUAUUAUUUUAUUUUGGUUAAUAUUUUUAUUAUUAUUUUAUUUUACAUGUAAAUUUUUGUGUGAAUUUAUUUAAUUUUUAAAAAAUUAUUUAAUAAAUUUAUUCGCAGUGAUUAAUAUUAAAAUAAAAAAGAAAUUUUGUUUUAGUAAUAAUAUAUAGUAUUGGUAAAAUUUGUGCCAGCUACCGCGGUUAUACAAAUAAUACAAAUAAAAAUUUUUAGUAGAAGUUAAAUUGAUUAAAUUUUAAUAUAAAUGUAAAUUUAUUAGGUGAAAUUUUUAAAUUUAUUUAUUAUUAAAUUAAAAAAUAAUUUAAGCUAUAAACUUUUUGUAAUAAACUAGGAUUAGAUACCCUAUUAUUAAAAAUAAAUAUUGGCAUACUAAAGUAGUAUUAGUUAUAUUCUUAAAAUUUAAAAAAUUUGGCGGUAUUUUAGUCUAUUCAGAGGAAUCUGUCCUGUAAUUGAUAAUCCACAUUGAACCUUACUUAAAUUUGUUUAAUUUGUAUAUCGCCGUCAUCAGAAUAUAUUAUAAGAUAAAAUUUUCUUAAUAUUUAAUAAAAUAAUAUGUCAGGUCAAGGUGCAGUUUAUGUUUAAGUAGAGAUGGAUUACAAUAAAUUUAUUUAAUAUGGAUUAUUUUUUGAAAUAAAAAUUUGAAAGUGGAUUUGAAAGUAAUAUAAAAUAGAUUAUUUAUAUGAUUUUAGCUCUAAAAUAUGCACAUAUCGCCCAUCGUUCUUAUUUUUAAAAUAAGAUAAGUUGUAACAUAGUAGAUGUACUGGAAAGUGUAUCUAGAAAGA